AGCUCCAAUAGCGUAUAUUAAAGUUGCUGCAGUUAAAAAGCUCGUAGUUGCAUUUCCGAGGCAAGGGAUUAGUCCGACCUUUGGUGGGUAUUUAAUCCUCUUGCCUCGUCCUUGAGUGGUGCUUCUUGGUAUUAAGUUAUCGAGGAGAUAGCCGCUCAUCGUUUACUGUGAGAAAAUUAGAGUGUUCAAAGCAGGCUUAUGCCGUUGAAUAUAUUAGCAUGGAAUAAUAAGAGAGGACCUCGGUACUAUUUUGUUGGUUUGAGAACCAAGGUAAUGAUGAAUAGGGACAGUUGGGAGUAUUCGUAUUCAGUUGUCAGAGGUGAAAUUCUUAGAUUUACGGAAGACGAACUACUGCGAAAGCAUUUACCAAGGAUGUUUUCA
rnacentral:rRNA from 1 species